rnacentral:rRNA from 1 species
UACGUAGGGGGCGAGCGUUGUCCGGAGUUACUGGGCGUAAAGGGCCUGCAGGCGGUCGUGCAGGUUUGCGGUGCCAGCCGUUGGCUUAACUGACGGAGUGCCGGAAAAACCGUACGACUUGAGGGUCAGAGAGGGACACAGAAUUCCGGGUGGAGCGGUGAAAUGCGUAGAUAUCAGGAGGAACACCUGUGGCGAAAGCGGCUCACUGGACCAUAACUGACGCUGAUGCACGAAAGCUAGGGGAGCAAACAGG